rnacentral:tRNA from 1 species
GUACUACGAAAGGAAGUUGCUCAUGGAUUAUCAAUAAGUCUAGAAUUGAUUCUUCCCGGGUCGAUGCCCGAGU